rnacentral:rRNA from 1 species
UACCGAGUUUACAACUCCCAAACCCAAUGUGAACGUUACCAAACUGUUGCCUCGGCGGGGUCACGCCCCGGGUGCGUAAAAGCCCCGGAACCAGGCGCCCGCCGGAGGAACCAACCAAACUCUUUCUGUAGUCCCCUCGCGGACGUAUUUCUUACAGCUCUGAGCAAAAAUUCAAAAUGAAUCAAAACUUUCAACAACGGAUCUCUUGGUUCUGGCAUCGAUGAAGAACGCAGCGAAAUGCGAUAAGUAAUGUGAAUUGCAGAAUUCAGUGAAUCAUCGAAUCUUUGAACGCACAUUGCGCCCGCCAGUAUUCUGGCGGGCAUGCCUGUCCGAGCGUCAUUUCAACCCUCGAACCCCUCCGGGGGAUCGGCGUUGGGGAUCGGGACCCCUCACCGGGUGCCGGCCCUGAAAUACAGUGGCGGUCUCGCCGCAGCCUCUCCUGCGCAGUAGUUUGCACAACUCGCACCGGGAGCGCGGCGCGUCCACGUCCGUAAAACACCCAACUUUCUGAAAUGUUGACCUCGGAUCAGGUAGGAAUACCCGCUGAACUUAAGCAUAUCAAUAAGCGGAGGAAAAGAAACCAACAGGGAUUGCCCCAGUAACGGCGAGUGAAGCGGCAACAGCUCAAAUUUGAAAUCUGGCCCCUCCGGGUCCGAGUUGUAAUUUGUAGAGGAUGCUUUUGGUGACGUGCCGCCCGAGUUCCC